rnacentral:misc_RNA from 1 species
AUGUUAUUCCUUCUGCCCUUGAUCUUGUGUCCCUUCUACAUGCAUGGCGAUAGCCCCAUGGUUUUGGAUGUACCUUCCACUUCUCCUUUGUCGGGUUAUUUGUCUCCUGGUGAUAUGAUUGUGUCAUUGGAUGGUAAACACAUCCGCAAUGAACAAGAAUGGAUAGAGAUGACUGCCCUAAUGCAAGAACAGGCACUUCAAAGUUCAAGUCAUUCGGAAAAUUCCAAAGGUUUUGCCAUAGUUCAUAG